rnacentral:tmRNA from 1 species
GGGGAUGAUCGGUUUCGACAUUGUAGUAAUGAGUGAAAGAAGCGGGUCGAGGAUGAGCACUUAUCUCGUAAACGAUGUGUUCAAAACUAUAGGUGCCAAUACAAAGCGCGCCGACUUCGCCCUAGCUGCAUAGCUAGCCCCGAAGUCCGUUUAACCGGUUGUGAUUUCGUGCCGGAUCUAGACGUCAUUUAGAAAUCUUGCUGGUUAGCUGGGUUGCAGGGCUGAUUGGGACUUUUACUGUAACUGGGCCUGUCAGCGUAGUUGCUUCAAACAAAUGCUGGGGCCAAGUAGAACGAAUAACGAAGCUACACCCGUAGAAGAAUCAUGAAUGUUGCAUUGGACCCGGGUUCGAUUCCCGGCAUCUCCACCU